AAUACAGGUAUGUGCAAAUAUGUAUACAUUUAGUUAUUAUGAAAAUUGGGCAAUAUGAAUAUGUAUGUGUCGAGUUGUGUUGAAUAUUAAAGUAAGACACAACAACAACAUGUACAUAACGCAUUUAAACUGCAAUUAGCUUAAACUUAAUUUCAAACUUUGGGAAUUGCUUAGACUUUUUUUUAACAAGGCAAUAGAACAAAAAGUAUUUAAAAACGAAAAGUUUGUUAGAAUUUUUGAACAGAAAACAGCAAAGUAAACUUAAGCUAAUUUGGACUUUUUAGCUUAGUAGCAUAUGAAAUUAUUUGUGUGACAAGAAAACCUUAGAAAUAAAUAUUAUUACGCACGACAUAGACUAACGAGAGGAGAAAUCUCUACGUUUCAAAGAUGCAGCAUACAUACACGUAUGUGCAAAAUAUAUUAGGGGACUUGCAAGCGGCUGGUAAUUUUACGCAAGCCUUUAUCACUAUGAAUAAAACUCCAAUCUUCAAAAUGUGUUAACUAUAAUUUAUUAAUUAUGCUAUUAUUUCCAGUAUUAGUUCAAAAUUUUUAUUUUAAACAUUAUGCUUUUUUUACAUUUAUGAUAAAUUAUUUUGAAGAAUGUGAUUGAAUAUUUCUUAUAGCGCAACACUCUCUGUAAAUAAAUAUUACUAGUCGCUUCUCGGUUUUAAAUAUAGCUGCUCGAAAUAUAAUUAUACAACUUUUGUAUCACAGUAUGCAGUAAACCAGCCAUUGACAAUAUGAUUAUUUCAAAAUUAAUUUCUGAAACUUCUUAGAAAAUCAACGUCUGGUAAAAAAGUACUCUAAAAUUAUUGAUAAUAUAUUUGAAAAGUGAAAUGAUUGAUUGUGCCAAUUAAACGUUCAAUCGGUGCAUGACCAAAAAUCGGUCGUAUAUACAAAUCCUUAAAAAAUUGGUCAACUUUUUUAAAUGGGAUUACCACAACGAAAAAUUGUCAGCAAUAUUUUUAAACAAUAUUUUGUCAAAUAAUCAUAUUUAUACUUUUGUCUGGAUAUUGUGUACUGUGUAUUGUAUAUAAUAUACAUUGUGGUUUUUAUUUUUCCUGUUUUAUAUUAAUAGUUACAUUGUUUUAUUUGUAUAUUUUAAUGUGUAUAGUUUGACUUAUACAUUUUGACUGAAAGUGUAAUUUUAAUACAUAAAUUAAGUGUAGAAUAAAGACGGGCUUUGACAUGAGCUCUUUAAUUAUAUAAUUAAAUAACAAUAUAUACCGUUUCUUAAAUAUAAAUAAAUCAUUAUUUAUAUCUCGGCUGGAGGAAGCAGCAUGAUAUUUUAAAAACUUGCAAUUGGAACUAUGUAUGUUAGUAUACAUUUAAUUUUCAUUUUAAAUACAUAUGGACGUGUAUGUUGUAAAUUUUAACACCCACAUCGUAACAGAUAUUCAAUUGAAGUAAUUGAUAUAAAUAAAUAGUAGACUUAUGAAAAUCAGUACAUGUAAAAAUGUAAUAAUUGCAAAUAAAGUAACUAAAUAAUUUUAGCGCUAA